AGCGCAGACGGUUUAUUAAGUCUGAUGUGAAGGCCCGGAGCUCAACUCCGGAAUGGCAUUGGAAACUGGUUAACUUGAGUGCAGUAGAGGUAAGUGGAACUCCAUGUGUAGCGGUGGAAUGCGUAGAUAUAUGGAAGAACACCAGUGGCGAAGGCGGCUUACUGGACUGCAACUGACGUUGAGGCUCGAAAGUGUGGGUAGCAAACA
rnacentral:rRNA from 1 species